rnacentral:rRNA from 1 species
UGGGGGAUUUUGCACAAUGGGCGCAAGCCUGAUGCAGCGACGCCGCGUGAGGGAUGAAGGCCUUCGGGUUGUAAACCUCUUUCGCUGGGUUGAAAGGCCAUGCUUUGGGUGUGGUUGAUUUGAACUGGUAAAGAAGUACCGGCUAACUACGUGCCAGCAGCCGCGGUAAUACGUAGGGUACUAGCGCUGUCCGGAUUUAUUGGGCGUAAAGGGCUUGUAGGUGGUUUGUCGCGUCUGUCGUGAAAUCCUGUGGCUUAACCAUGGGCUUGCGGUGGGUACGGGCAGGCUUGAGUGCGGUAGGGGAGACUGGAAUUCCUGGUGUAGCGGUGGAAUGCGCAGAUAUCAGGAGGAACACCGGUGGCGAAGGCGGGUCUCUGGGCCGUUACUGACACUGAGGAGCGAAAGCGUGGGGAGCGAACAGG